rnacentral:rRNA from 1 species
CCUACGGGUGGCAGCAGUGGGGGAUAUUGCACAAUGGGGGGAACCCUGAUGCAGCGACGCCGCGUGGGUGAAGAAGCGCCUCGGCGCGUAAAGCCCUGUCAGCAGGGAAGAAAAUGACGGUACCUGAAGAAGAAGCCCCGGCUAACUACGUGCCAGCAGCCGCGGUAAUACGUAGGGCGCAAGCGUUAUCCGGAUUUACUGGGUGUAAAGGGGGCGCAGACGGCGAUGCAAGCCAGGAGUGAAAGCCCGGGGCACAACCCCGGGACUGCUCUUGGAACUGCGUGGCUGGAGUGCAGGAGGGGCAGGCAGAAUUCCUGGUGUAGCGGUGAAAGGCGGAGAUAUCAGGAGGAACACCGGCGGCGAAGGCGGGCUGCUGGACCGCGACUGACGUUGAGGCUCGAAAGCGUGGGGAGCGAACAGGAUUAGAUACCCGGGUAGUC